rnacentral:lncRNA from 1 species
GAGGCGGCCCCCGGGCGCCAUUUUGUGACGGCGGCGGUGGCGGCGGUCCUUUCCCAUUUUAGGCCCGGGGAGGCGGGGGCGCCGACCGGGGCCGGGUCGAGGACGGAAGGACGGACGCCGCCCUCUCCGCGGCCGGCGGCUGGGAGGCGUGCGGGCGAGGAGGAGCGCGGGGAUGGCGGCGGCCGGGCGAGGGGGACGUCGGCGCCGCGGCCUGGGCCCGACCGGAAGUGGAGGAGCGUCCGGCCGCCAUGGCGGACUCUUGCCAAAUUCAGUUUUGCGGCACAGUAGAAACGAUGUAGUCGGUGUUGAAUGGCAAGGUCAGAGAGCCGGAAGGGAUUCGACCACUGUUCCUUUUGCCACUUCUCCCAUCUUUUGGCUUCGGAGGACUUCUACCCUCUGAACUCCGGACCGCCUUUUGAACUGGGUGCCAAAGUCCCGGGGUUGCCCAGAGCCCAAUCACACACCCGCCAACCCUCCCAAAGUGCCAAACACAAAUUACUUAGAGAAUCAGUUACUUGAGUAACUGGAAAAAAGACCCCCAAACCUCAUUUUGGUUACGCGCACCUUUGUCUUGCUUGAAGUACUAAAGAGAUGUGCUGUUUCAUCCAGGUGAUUCUGGUUUUGAGAGUCACUCGAUAGGUGCUCUGAAUAUUACGUUAGGUUUCCCAUCGGAAGGGUUGCUUCUUUUUGACAGCUGAAGAGCCAGUAUAACAUCCAGGAGGCCGACCCCGAUGGGGUCUUUUUAAACACCGGCGUCCUGGAUAGAGUUUAUUUUGUAGCCCAAAGAGAGUGGAAUCGAAAGUCCAAGUUAUAAAUUAAGGAAAAGACCAAUUUUUCACUGGCACGUAUUUUUAGGCCUCGUUUGAAGGGAGAAAACCCACCCGGUUAUGAGAACGUGGCGCAACGGUUGUCUUCCAGCAGUGUUAGAGGGUUUUCUCUCAAGUUUGCAAUUUAUAAAGCCAAAAUGCUAACAGUUGUAGAGCUCGUUUGGAAUAUGUUUCGUCAGCAUGCUUAGCCUCCGGUAUCCUCUGGGUUGUGCAUCCGCCGAGGGCUCGAUGUUGAAAACGUUAAUAGGUUCUUAAUUUGCCUUUCAGAAAAAUGUCGGUAUUUUCGAAAGCCGACGCAAGAGCUUCCAAUUUUAAGAGAAGUGAAUCCGCCUCCUUCCUCUUCCCCUGAAUUACUGCUGCCACUCUGGCACUCUCGUCUUGGUAUGUAGUCUUGCAACACUGCAGGGAAACAUUUGAGCUGUAAGAUUUGGGAAUCGGCCGGGAGGACUGGAAAUGGCGAAGCAGAACCUGGUAGGCUCUACUCAGUACGUGUAAUCCCCAGAGGCCUCGGCCCCAAGUCGCAACGUGGUCUCCGCCGGCCGGCUUCUCCGGGUCUUCUCCUCGGAGGAUACCGAAAAGCCGCUUGGACCGCUCAGGUGAUGCUGUCUCAGUGACUCCGGUCACCGCGAGGAGAGUGAAAUGACAGAACGGUUUUCUGAUCCGGCCUCCUCAUUCCCGCUCCGAUGGAUUUGGCUGGGUGCUGCCCUUCCCCGCGAGAUUGUACGGACAGGUGCCGUCUAGCCCCGUCCGCUCUCCUUCGUCGGCUGAUCUAGGCCUAGACGGGAUCCCCAGUGACCUGCGGACUUUUGGCGGGAGGAGGCGGGGAUCCUCGGACCCCUUCUUGUGCUGAAUUUUCCAUCUGUCCCCUUGGCCACUUCUCAGGUAGCAUCGGUGGGAGAGAUUCGAUAUACAUGUAGAAGUCAUUUUUGUAGUGCAGUUCUUGAAAUGUAUCUGCCAACUACUUUUAUCCAGUCUUUUUUAAAAAAAAAAAAAUAUAACGGUUUUGUUAAGCGUUUACUAUGUGCCAGGCACUGAACUAAGCGCGGGGGCAGGUACAAGUUACUCAGAUCGAAGGCCACGUGUCACAGUCAUAAUCCCCAUUUUUCAGAUGAGGUAACUGAGGCCCAGAGAGGUGAUAUGACUUGGUCCGGGUCACAUAGCCAAGAAGUGGCAGGGGCUGGAAUUAGAACCCAGGUCCUUGUGACUGCCAGGCCUGUGCUGUAUCCACUUAGGUCACGCUUCUUCUCUGGCUGCUCUUGUCUUUCUAAGUUCAACUUGCGGACCUGGCUCAUCGCAAGCUCUUCAUUUAUAUUUAGGGGCAGCCUGACUGGUGUGGGUUAGAUUUUUCCUAGCUGUGAGUUAAGAUUCUAGAUCGUGUUAGAAAAGGGAAAUGGGAUUGCACGCAGUUUCUUUAUUUUGUAGUUUAAGAUUCGUCUUUCAAGGGGCUCACUCGUUACCCACAGUAUUUGUUGAACACCUGACGUAUCCACGCAUCGAUUUUUAGCUCGGUCUGAGGGAUGUGUGUACGUUCAUAUCGGCAGCCUUUAUGGAGCAGAGAUCUUGUGAACGCGGGGCAGUCGUUACUGUUUUAGUCUUACGACGCUGUCCAUCCACGGCGCUCCCUCCUUCUUAGAUGAUCUCCAGGACAGUCGCUAGAGAUGGGCCCAGUCGCUUCGUAGAGGGAUUUUAUCUUUUCAGUUCCAUCCCAACCUCUCCACCGAAUCGGAAUCCCGACCACGUUCGUUCUCUCGUCCGUCUUUGUGGGUGGCCCCAUCUCCUGAGGUGAGAUCUCUUGUACUUUUAGUAAGCGGAAGUCAAGAAAUUCAGCUUAGGACGUGAUCGUCUUGCUCUCUCUCGAGGCGGUUCGCCCAUUAACGUUCCUCCGUGCCGUCGACCCGCGUUUUUUAAAAAUCUCUCGGAACCCAGCGUUCCCCGCUUCUGGCGUUUGGGUUUCAGUGCUUCUUCUAGUCGAUCCUCCGGCCUGUACUGUUGCUUGGUCUCGAGGCGAAGGUGGUUUGAGGGGUGGGUUGUUCACCGGAUUGGUUGAGAAAGCUCAUCCUGGUUUAAAAACGUGUUUUAAACCACUGCGGCAGGUCCCCUAGGAAGGAGCAAGUCACGGGUCUCCACAUUGGGUGAUGAUGAUGGCAUUUGUUAAGCGCUUACUAGGUGCCAAGCACUGUUCUGAGCGCUGGGGUCGACCCAAGAUCAGCAGGUUGUCCCACGUGGGGCUCACGGUCUUAAUUCCCAUUUUACAGAGGAGGUAACUGAGGCUCAAAGAAGUUAAGUGACUUACCCGGAGUCACCCAGCUGACAAGUGGCGGAGCGGGGAUUAGAACUCACCACCUCUGACUCCCAAGCCCGGGCUCUUUCCACUAAGCCACGCUGCUUCAUCGAUGGCAUUUAUUGAGCGCUUACUGUGUGUGCGGAACACCGGUCGGCCCCACAGAGUUGGCAGUGUUCCCUGCCCGCAACGAGCUUGAAACCUAGAGGGGGAGACAGACGGUAAUGUAAACAAAUAAUUGGUAGUGGGUAUGUUCCUCAGAGGCCCAAGCAAAGGGGAAGUCGAGUUUGUACUCGCUUGUGGAACUAGUCUUGGGGGCACGGUGUCGUCGAAGACCAUUCUUCCUUCCUUUUAAAGACCCACAACUGGAGAGAGGGAGUUAAAUGUGAAGUGUGCCUGCCUCCCACAGAUCAGGCCAUGAAAAGUGCUAAUAGCUAAAUCCCUGUGUCUUUUUUUUUUUCUUCUUCUUCUUCUUCUUCUUUGAACUAAUGUCAGAAUAAUGGGGUAGAUGACUGCCCACAGUGGGUCAGGGAAAGGAGAGCAAACACGUAGGCUUUGGCGAGAUUUGCGGGGGUGGGGAAAGGAAGAUGGAUAGGUAGAGGUUUUUUGGGUUUGUUUUUAAACGAGCUUUCUCAGUUCAUCUAAUCCUUGUUUAGGGUCCUCCAAGUUCCCGUCCCCCUCCCAGCCAAUCCAUCUCUGCCCUUCUCACCUCGGCCUUCCACCCACUUGUCCAUUCGGUCGGGGGCUUUUAUCGAGCACCUCCUGUGAACGGGAUCCUGAACUAGGGAGAGUACAGUAAAAAUAAAAAAACAAGGUCCAUGGCUGUCACGCACGGUCCAGAAGGGGACAGGUCCAGCACUUGGUUCCUCGGGGGGAAAAAAGGUGCUUCUCGCCUCACUUCGUCUCAGAUUCCAAGACGCCGCUUCAGGUGGUGGCGGGAUAAGGACUCCAGCAGUGGGAUUUCAGCCGACUGUUGAGAUGGGAUCUCCCGCAACCUCGCCCUGAGGUUCGGCAAAGCGGGCGGGGGCGACGGGAGUCUCGUUGGGAGAAAGAGGCCGAGAAAGCGCCACCUCAUUUACCUCUGCCUCGAUGCCACAGUGGGCUUGGCCGGGGGCUCGAGAGAAGACUUGUUUCCUCUAUAAGAAAGCAGCUGUUUCCUGUCCCCAUUUUUAUGGACUCAGGAGAGCUGGAGAAGGGUAUCCUGGCUCGCUGAGGGUA